GAUGAACGCUGGCGGCGUGCCUAAUACAUGCAAGUCGAGCGAACGGACGAGAAGCUUGCGUCUCUGAUGUUAGCGGCGGACGGGUGAGUAACACGUGGAUAACCUACCUAUAAGACUGGGAUAACUUCGGGAAACCGGAGCUAAUACCGGAUGAUAUUUUGAACCGCAUGGUUCAAAAGUGAAAGACGGUCUUGCUGUCACUUAUAGAUGGAUCCGCGCUGCAUUAGCUAGUUGGUAAGGUAACGGCUUACCAAGGCAACGAUGCAUAGCCGACCUGAGAGGGUGAUCGGCCACACUGGAACUGAGACACGGUCCAGACUCCUACGGGAGGCAGCAGUAGGGAAUCUUCCGCAAUGGGCGAAAGCCUGACGGAGCAACGCCGCGUGAGUGAUGAAGGUCUUCGGAUCGUAAAACUCUGUUAUUAGGGAAGAACAUAUGUGUAAGUAACUGUGCACAUCUUGACGGUACCUAAUCAGAAAGCCACGGCUAACUACGUG
rnacentral:rRNA from 1 species